AGGCCUUUUUAUGGUUAUCAUGAGAAGGAAAGACACUUUAUGAAGAUCUAUCUUUACAAUCCUGCAAUGGUGAAAAGGAUAUGUGAACUUUUGCAAAGCGGAGCCAUAAUGAAUAAAUUUUACCAGCCUCAUGAAGCGCAUAUUCCCUACCUCCUACAGCUCUUCAUUGACUACAAUCUUUAUGGCAUGAAUUUAAUAAAUCUGGCUGCUGUCAAGUUCCGAAAAGCAAGAAGGAAAAGUAAGGUUAAUUUUCAGUCAAAUUAAA
rnacentral:sRNA from 1 species